GCAACAGCUCAAAUUUGAAAUCUGGCGCAAGCCCGAGUUGUAAUUUGCAGAGGAUGUUUCGGGUGAAGCCACGGUCCAAGUCCCUUGGAACAGGACGUCAUAGAGGGUGAGAACCCCGUACCUGGCCGUCGGUGCCCCCCGCUGUGAAACUCCUUCGACGAGUCGAGUUGUUUGGGAAUGCAGCUCUAAAUUGGUGGUAAAUUCCAUCUAAAGCUAAAUACCGGCCAGAGACCGAUAGCGCACAAGUAGAGUGAUCGAAAGAUGAAAAGCACUUUGAAAAGAGAGUUAAAAAGUACGUGAAAUUGUUGAAAGGGAAGCGCUUGCGGCCAGACUUGCCCGCGGUUGCUCAGCCCGCCUUUUGGCGGGUGCACUCUUCCGCGGUCAGGCCAGCAUCGGUUUGGGCGGCCGGACAAAGGCGCCGGGAACGUGGCCUCCCCUCGGGGAGGCGUUAUAGCCCGGCGCGCAAUGCGGCCAGCCCGGACCGAGGUUCGCGCUCUGCUAGGAUGCUGGCGUAAUGGCCGUAAGCGGCCCGUCUUGAAACACGGACCAAGGAGUCUAACAUCUAUGCGAGUGUUUGGGUGUCAAACCCGUGCGCGUAAUGAAAGUGAACGGAGGUGGGAACCGCAAGGUGCACCAUCGACCGAUCCUGAUGUCUUCGGAAGGAUUUGAGUAAGAGCAUAGCUGUUGGGACCCGAAAGAUGGUGAACUAUGCGUGAAUAGGGUGAAGCCAGAGGAAACUCUGGUGGAGGCUCGCAGCGGUUCUGACGUGCAAAUCGAUCGUCAA
rnacentral:rRNA from 2 species